CAGCAGCCGCGGGAAUACGAAGGGGGCUAGCGUUGCUCGGAAUGACUGGGCGUAAAGGGCGCGUAGGCGGCUGACACAGUCAGAUGUGAAAUUCCUGGGCUCAACCUGGGGACUGCAUUUGAGACGUGUUGGCUUGAGUGGAGAAGAGGGUCGUGGAAUUUCCAGUGUAGAGGUGAAAUUCGUAGAUAUUGGAAAGAACACCGGUGGCGAAGGCGGCGACCUGGUCUUUAACUGACGCUGAGGCGCGAAAGCGUGGGGAGCAAACAGGAUUAGAUACCCCAGUAGUCCCUGUCUCUUAUAC
rnacentral:rRNA from 1 species